AGAUUAAGGGCCGGUACUUUAUGUCUCCGUUAACAGCCGGUUAGUUAACCGAGGUUUAAUCGGGACAGAAAUAUAUGCAAAACAUAGACAUAAACGCAAUUAUACUUAUUAUUAUAUUCAUAAAUAAUUAUAAUAAUAAUUAUAAUUGCUUUUAUUACAACGCAAGAGGCCCUAUGGGGUACUUUUCUGUCCCGAUUAAACCCCGGUUAGCUAACCGAGGUUUAACCGGGACAUAAAGUACCGGCCCUAAAUGUCCAGCAAACGACGGCAAUGUUGCCAGAUUCCUUUUAGCGGGAAUUUUAAAAUUUUAUAGCAGUUUGGUUUUAAAUUUGACAGUUCUGUUUUCUCAAGUCAAAAAUCUUAACCUUACUUUUACAAGUGAUUAAGAUUAUUUUAUUUACAUGUAAAUUGAAACAAUAAAUAUUGUGCUUUGUCAUAAUUUAAAACUCAUUAUGUUGAAGUCUUUUCCAGUUGAUAAAAUUGCAAUUCAAAAACUUUUAGGUAGAUUUGUACUGUAUGGAUGGCACAGGAAGAGAACAGAGAACAAGAGUACAAGAACAUGAAACAUCUUAUUAUGAAUGUAUAUGUAUGUGAUCCUCAAAAAAUUAUUUUUCAAAACAAGAUAGAGAAUGAGCUUUAAAAUCCCAAGGAUCCUGCAAAAUGUCUAUUUGGUGUACUAGUCGAAUAAUAGUACCUAUCUAAAAAUAAUGAAACUGUUUUAAAACACAUUAUGGGCAUGAGGAUGAUAUAGAGCACUUACAUAAAUACCAAAAUCAGAUAAAUAUCUCUUCAAAGUUUAUUUUGAGACUUUCUUCAAAAAUUAAACUUCAGACUGUCCAGGAUAGCAUAAUAGCAUAGGAGGCAAAUUAAGAAGAAUUAAUUUACUUACAAGAAGAGAUAUCACAAACAUUAAACUCUCUUAUGGCAUUGAUUUGAAAGAUGGGUAUAUGUACAAUGAUGAUGCAACCAGUGUUUAUUUUUGGGUUGAAUGCUUACAGAUUAUUUAUUUUUUCCAAUAUUAUUUUACAAACAACAGGGCAUACUAAUGGAUAUUCAUUCUGAAUUUAACAUUUAUGAUUUUUGUCUUAUUUUCCUUAAUACUGUGCCAAAAGGAAAUGUUAAUUAAGUUUGGCAAAUCCUUUAUCGCAAUCGAUGGAACUCAUGGGCUCAAUUCCUAUGACUUUGAACUUAUGACAGUAUUAGUAAAAGAUGAAUUUGGGAAUGGAUUUUGUACUGCUUUCUUAUUUUCAAAUAGAAAAGAUACCUACUUUAAUUUA